GAUCCCUCAAAGAUGAUGAGGUUAAUAGGUUCGAGGUGGAAGCAUGGUGACAUGUGGAUCUGACGAAUACUAAUCGAUCGAAGACUUAAUCAA
rnacentral:rRNA from 1 species